UACGUAGGGGGCAAGCGUUACUCGGAUUCACUGGGCGUAAAGCGAAUGUAGGCGGUCUUGUAAGUCAAGGGUGAAAUCCCUCAGCUCAACUGAGGAACUGCCUUUGAUACUGCUUGACUAGAGGACAGGAGAGGUAAGUGGAAUUCCCGGUGUAGCGGUGGAAUGCGUAGAUAUCGGGAGGAACACCAGAGGCGAAGGCGGCUUACUGGACUGAUCCUGACGCUGAGAUUCGAAAGCUAGGGGAGCAAACAGG
rnacentral:rRNA from 1 species